CAAGCCCAUCUAAACCCUUAUCUGAACCAAAAUCGCUCUCUUUCUCUCUCCAAUGGCGUCCAGUACGUCUCCGACCUCUGCAUUGUCACCGCUGGGGCCACGACGAGUCCAGGCUCAACUUGCCACAGAGGAAUGUCUCUCUCUUUCGCAAGAUCAUACCUCCGCUCGCAAGUACUCGCCGGAGACCAUUUUGCUGAUUGUGUCGAAUCUGGUACUUUGCUGAGGUGAUAAUCCAGCCGAUCAUCCAUCGGUUCGAUUCGCAACCAUGUUCGAAGCACAUUUUUUGUCAAGUGGUUUUGUUGUGAUGCUUUUUCAUUAUGAUGGUAAUGUUGAUGAGUGGAUGCAAUUUCAAUGGAAUGAUCUUGUCAUUUAUGUGUCUGCAGUCAAUCAAACAAAAUGGUGGUUUGCAAAGCAUUUCUUACAUCCUGAUGUAGUUGAUCAAUAUAGUCGCAUUCUUCUACGGGAUGAGGACCUUGGAGUUGACAAUUUCAAUCCUCAACGGUUCUGUAGCUACAUUUCCUUUUAGCAAAGUAUGUGUCCAUUGUUCGAAAGGAAGGGCUUGAAAUAUCACAACCGGCACUUGAUUUUUUCAAGACAGAGGUGAACUACAUGGAGAAACUUUCGAAAGAGGAGGGGAUUCAGAAGAAACUCAGCAAGGAUAUUUUGCAAUAUAAAGCUCAUAUAAUCAAGAUAUUUGCGGAACAUAGGCACAAUUAGAUCUCUACAGAUUUAGAGUUUUAGAAAUUUGCCUAGGGCUUAGGAUGCAAGUCAUUGGUGAAUUGUAAACUCCAGUUUAUUAAAUAAAUUAGCUUUUUGUAUCUUUUUAUGAUGUCACUGUUAUAUUUAGUUUUCCUUAAUAAAACAUUACUUUUAUAGA